rnacentral:rRNA from 1 species
GUAGGGAAUCUUCCACAAUGGACGCAAGUCUGAUGGAGCAACGCCGCGUGAGUGAAGAAGGGUUUCGGCUCGUAAAGCUCUGUUGUUAAAGAAGAACGUGGGUAAGAGUAACUGUUUACCCAGUGACGGUAUUUAACCAGAAAGCCACGGCUAACUACGUGCCAG